rnacentral:misc_RNA from 1 species
AUAAAAACGCGUUAGGGAUAGCAGUGGAAAGCCCACAGCAUGCGCGGGCCCUUGUGCGCCCCCGGCCUGCGAGGACUUGGAACGGAUAGCCCGGGCCGCA